rnacentral:rRNA from 1 species
GACAGAGGGUGCAAGCGUUGUUCGGAUUUACUGGGCGUAAAGCGCGCGUAGGCGGUAAGGCAAGUCGGGUGUGAAAUCCCUGGGCUUAACCCAGGAAGUGCAUUCGAUACUACCUUGCUUGAGUGCCGGAGAGGGUAGUGGAAUUCCCAGUGUAGAGGUGAAAUUCGUAGAUAUUGGGAGGAACACCAGUGGCGAAGGCGACUGCCUGGACGGUGACUGACGCUGAGGCGCGAAAGCGUGGGUAGCAAACAGG